rnacentral:rRNA from 1 species
GAUGAACGCUGGGGGCGUGCCUAAUACAUGCAAGUCGAGCGAACGGACGAGAAGCUUGCUUUUCUGAUGUUAGCGGCGGACGGGUGAGUAACACGUGGAUAACCUACCUAUAAGACUGGGAUAACUUCGGGAAACCGGAGCUAAUACCGGAUAAUAUUUUGAACCGCAUGGUUCAAAAGUGAAAGACGGUCUUGCUGUCACUUAUAGAUGGAUCCGCGCUGCAUUAGCUAGUUGGUAAGGUAACGGCUUACCAAGGCAACGAUGCAUAGCCGACCUGAGAGGGUGAUCGGCCACACUGGAACUGAGACACGGUCCAGACUCCUACGGGAGGCAGCAGUAGGGAAUCUUCCGCAAUGGGCGAAAGCCUGACGGAGCAACGCCGCGUGAGUGAUGAAGGUCUUCGGAUCGUAAAACUCUGUUAUUAGGGAAGAACAUAUGUGUAAGUAACUGUGAACAUCUUGACGGUACCUAAUCAGAAAGCCACGGCUAACUACGUG